UACGGGGGGGGCAAGCGUUGUUCGGAAUUACUGGGCGUAAAGGGUGCGUAGGCGGUCCGCUAAGUUGGAUGUGAAACUCUGGGCUUAACCCAGAGCCUGCAUUCAAAACUGACGGCUAGAGUUCUGGAGGGGGUAGCGGAAGUCCUGAUGUAGCGGUGAAAUGCGUAGAUAUCAGGAGGAACACCGGUGGCGAAGGCGGCUACCUGGACAGAAACUGACGCUGAGGCACGAAAGCUAGGGGAGCAAACAGG
rnacentral:rRNA from 1 species